rnacentral:lncRNA from 1 species
UUAAAUGAUUGUAUUUAAAUUUGAUCCUAUUCAAUAAAGGGGACGACAAGUAUUUAUCCAAACUCAGUGGUCUGUUCUCACCCUAAGAGAAUUCUAUUUUAUUAACAAUUACAGUCAAGCUUUGAUUGGGACCUAUCAGAGUAUUAAAUUCUUCCUCUAUUGCUUGUCUCCAAUUUUGGUUGUUCAAAGGUUCAAACACAGUUGAUGCUAAA